UUGUCUGACUGAAGCUGUGUGCGCAGU
rnacentral:piRNA from 1 species